rnacentral:lncRNA from 1 species
UGAGAUGGUAGAUGCACAUGACGCAUCUACUAAGAAUAUUGAAGUGUAGGUGGGCCAGAUUGCUAUGUCUUUGAAUAACCGUCCUCAAGGGACAUUGCCUGCAGAUACCCACUGGAAGCGAUGAUGCAGCAAAUGGUUGGGUCCAACACAAAGAUAAAUGAGAGGGUAGAUGCAGAUGACGUAGCUAUUAAAAAUAUUGAAGUAGAGGUGGCCAGAUUACUAUGUCUUUGAAUAACCAACCUCAAGGAACAUUGCCUGCAGAUACCCAAAUCAACCCCAAAGAUCAGGGCCUGAAGCAGCUGAUGGCGGUGAGUCUCCGCAAUGGUAGAGAUCUUGAUGUUGAACAGGAAAGAUCUCAUGAGAAUUUGCAGGCUGAGACACUCAUUUACGUACCUAUUGAGCUGGAUGAAUCAACAAGGCUGACAGAUCUGACAGUCCAUCCUGCUACUGAAAAUCAGAUUAUGCAGCACGAGAGCUAGAAAAUUGCCGAAACAGUAGAAGAGCCUGUGGAGGAGAUAAUAGUUGAGAAAGAAAAGUCCCAAGUCAUUGGGAAGAAAAGACCUCCUGCACCAUCCCCCAGAGAUUGGCCAAGCACCAAAAGGAAGAGCAAUGCAAGAAGUUCUUUGACAUGCUCAAGCAGAUUAGGGUAAAUAUUCCAUUGAUCGAAGCUUUAAAGGAAAUGCAUGGGUACGCGAAGAUGAUGAAAGAUUUGAUGUCUCGGAAGUUUGACUUCAAAGACUUGGCCACAGUGACUCUCACGCAGACCUGUAGUUCAGUGGUAACUAGACCGGUUACUGAAAAGCUCUCUG